AGUGGGUUAGCUCAGUGGUUAGAGCUUAGGUCUCGCAACCGAGAGGUCGCGGGAUCGCAUCCCGCUGAAAUUUAUUU
rnacentral:tRNA from 1 species